ACAGACAGUGGCAGCGGCGGGAGCUAAGUGCUCUGGGUGGGGGUGCUCGGGAAGACUUUGCACCCCGCGUUCCUUCUCUGGAGUGAGUUAUGGGGGAGGGGUGAGUCCCCAGAGAUGGGAAUUCCCAAUGGUAAACAGUUCGAGCUGGUUCCUUGUGUCUUGAGGCCAGCGAAAGACCCUCGCAGUGUGUCUCUCGUGGGUUAGGAGGUGCAGUGACCCUGCUACAGCUCCCCAGACAGAGCCUGGGGCUGUGCUGCUGCUUGUGGGGUCAGCUCAACCUCCCAGCUGCUCCCCUCUUGGCCCCUGGCACCCACUCCCCGGGGGUGGGCAUCUUGCCACCCGCCAGAUGGCACUAGCAGAGGCUGGGGCGUGGGGGUGGCAGGGGGGUCGGGGUCGGGGAGUGGGGUUGGGGGUGGAGGAAUGAGGGAGGUGGGAUGGUGGGGGGCAGAGCGUGCCCUCCCUGGCUCGGUGAGGCCGAUGCAGCCAGCUGUGGCGAGCAGCAGCUGGAUACACAUACCAGGAUGCACGGUCCCACGCCCUCUGCCAGGGCCCAGCAGUCAGGGGAGAGGGAGGCCAGG
rnacentral:lncRNA from 10 species